rnacentral:rRNA from 1 species
AGUGAACGCUGGCGGUAGGCCUAACACAUGCAAGUCGAACGGCAGCACAGUAAGAGCUUGCUCUUACGGGUGGCGAGUGGCGGACGGGUGCGGAAUACAUCGGAAUCUACUUUUUCGUGGGGGAUAACGUAGGGCAACUUACGCUAAUACCGCAUACGACCUACGGGUGAAAGCAGGGGAUCUUCGGACCUUGCGCGAUUGAAUGAGCCGAUGUCGGAUUAGCUAGUUGGCGGGGUAAAGGCCCACCAAGUCGACGAUCCGUAGCUGGGCUGAGAGGAUGAGCAGCCACACUAGGACUAUGGCACGGUCAGAACUCCUACGUGAGCGAGCAGUGGGAAAUAUUGGACAAUGGGCGCAAGCCUGAUCCAGCCAUACCGCGUAGGUGAAGAAGGCCUUCGGGUUGUAAAGCCCUUUUGUUGGGAAAGAAAAGCAGCAGGUUAAUACCCCGCUGUUCUGACGGUACCCAAAGAAUAAGCACCGGCUAACUUCGUG